rnacentral:misc_RNA from 1 species
GAUGAAGAACGCAGCGAAAUGCGAUAAGUAAUGUGAAUUGCAGAAUUCAGUGAAUCAUCGAAUCUUUGAACGCACAUUGCGCCCGCCAGUAUUAUGGCGGGCAUGCCUGUUCGAGCGUCAUUACAACCCUCAGGCCCCCGGGCCUGGCGUUGGGGAUCGGCGGAAGCCCCCUGCGGGCACAACGCCGUCCCCCAAAUACAGUGGCGGUCCCGCCGCAGCUUCCAUUGCGUAGUAGCUAACACCUCGCAACUGGAGAGCGGCGCGGCCACGCCGUAAAACACCCAACUUCUGAAUGUUGACCUCGAAUCAGGUAGGAAUACCCGCUGAACUUAAGCAUAUCAAUAAGCGGAGGA